rnacentral:rRNA from 1 species
GAUGAACGCUGGCGGCGUGCUUAACACAUGCGAGUCGAACGGAAAGGCCCAAGCUUGCUUGGGUACUCGAGUGGCGAACGGGUGAGUAACACGUGGGUGAUCUGCCCUGCACUUCGGGAUAAGCCUGGGAAACUGGGUCUAAUACUGGAUAGGACCACUUCUUGGAUGGUGUGGUGGAAAGUUUUUUCGGUGUGGGAUGAGCUCGCGGCCUAUCAGCUUGUUGGUGGGGUAAUGGCCUACCAAGGCGUCGACGGGUAGCCGGCCUGAGAGGGUGUACGGCCACAUUGGGACUGAGAUACGGCCCAGACUCCUACGGGAGGCAGCAGUGGGGAAUAUUGCACAAUGGGCGCAAGCCUGAUGCAGCGACGCCGCGUGGGGGAUGACGGCCUUCGGGUUGUAAACUCCUUUCGCUAGGGACGAAGCGUUUUUGUGACGGUACCUGGAGAAGAAGCACCGGCUAACUACGUG